CAGUCGCCGCGGGAACACGUAGGUGGCAAGCGUUGUCCGGAAUUAUUGGGCGUAAAGCGCGCGCAGGUGGUUUAAUAAGUCUGAUGUGAAAGCCCACGGCUCAACCGUGGAGGGUCAUUGGAAACUGUUAAACUUGAGUGCAGGAGAGAAAAGUGGAAUUCCUAGUGUAGCGGUGAAAUGCGUAGAGAUUAGGAGGAACACCAGUGGCGAAGGCGGCUUUUUGGCCUGUAACUGACACUGAGGCGCGAAAGCGUGGGGAGCAAACAGGAUUAGAUACCCCCGUAGUCCCUGUCUCUUAUAC
rnacentral:rRNA from 1 species